rnacentral:rRNA from 1 species
UACGAAGGGGGCUAGCGUUGCUCGGAAUCACUGGGCGUAAAGGGUGCGUAGGCGGGUCUUUAAGUCAGGGGGGAAAUCCUGGAGCUCAACUCCAGAACUGCCUUUGAUACUGAGGAUCUUGAGUACGGGAGAGGUGAGUGGAACUGCGAGUGUAGAGGUGAAAUUCGUAGAUAUUCGCAAGAACACCAGUGGCGAAGGCGACUUACUGGACACAUAUUGACGCUGAGGUGCGAAAGCGUGGGGAGCAAACAGG